rnacentral:rRNA from 1 species
GACGUACCGUGCGAACGUUGUUCGGAAUUACUGGGCUUAAAGGGCGCGUAGGCGGGCUGCCAAGUCCGGGGUGAAAUCUCUCGGCUCAACCGGAAAAGUGCCUUGGAUACUGGUGGUCUUGAGCGAGGUAGGGGUAUGUGGAACUUCCGGUGGAGCGGUGAAAUGCGCUGAUAUCGGAAGGAACGCCGGUGGCGAAAGCGACGUACUGGACCUCUACUGACGCUGAGGCGCGAAAGCUAGGGGAGCGAACGGG